rnacentral:rRNA from 1 species
UACGUAGGGGGCAAGCGUUGUCCGGAUUUAUUGGGCGUAAAGAGCGUGUAGGCGGUUUGGUAGGUCCGCUGUGAAAACUCGAGGCUCAACCUCGAGACGCCGGUGGAAACCAUCAGGCUAGAGUCCGGAAGAGGAGAGUGGAAUUCCUGGUGUAGCGGUGAAAUGCGCAGAUAUCAGGAGGAACACCUGUGGUGUAGACAGCUUACUGGACCAUCACUGACGCUGAGACACGAAAGCGUGGGUAGCAAACAGG